GGUGUGACUGCGUACCUUUUGUAUAAUGGGUCAGCGACUUAUAUUUAGUAGCAAGGUUAAGUGAAUAACGGAGCCGUAGCGAAAGCGAGUGUUAACUGCGCGUUUAGUUGCUAGGUAUAGACCCGAAACCCGGUGAUCUAGCCAUGGGCAGGUUGAAGGUUGAGUAACAUCAACUGGAGGACCGAACCGACUAACGUUGAAAAGUUAGCGGAUGACUUGUGGCUGGGGGUGAAAGGCCAAUCAAACCGGGAGAUAGCUGGUUCUCCCCGAAAUCUAUUUAGGUAGAGCCUCGGACGAAUUCCAUUGGGGGUAGAGCACUGUUAAGGCUAGGGGGUCAUCCCGACUUACCAACCCUUUGCAAACUCCGAAUACCAAUGAGAACUAUCCGGGAGACACACGGCGGGUGCUAACGUCCGUCGUGAAGAGGGAAACAACCCAGACCGCCAGCUAAGGUCCCUAA
rnacentral:rRNA from 1 species